rnacentral:rRNA from 1 species
CCUACGGGAGGCAGCAGCGAGGAAUAUUGCACAAUGGGGGAAACCCUGAUGCAGCAACGCCGCGUGAGUGAUGAAGGCCUUCGGGUUGUAAAGCUCUGUCUUUGGGGACGAUAAUGACGGUACCCAAGGAGGAAGCCACGGCUAACUACGUGCCAGCAGCCGCGGUAAUACGUAGGUGGCAAGCGUUGUCCGGAUUUACUGGGCGUAAAGGAUGCGUAGGCGGAUUUUUAAGUGGGAUGUGAAAUUCCGAGGCUCAACCUCGGCGCUGCAUUCCAAACUGGAAGUCUAGAGUGCGGGAGAGGAAAGUGGAAUUCCUAGUGUAGCGGUGAAAUGCGUAGAGAUUAGGAAGAACACCAGUGGCGAAGGCGACUUUCUGGACCGUAACUGACGCUGAUGCAUGAAAGCGUGGGGAGCAAACAGGAUUAGAUACCCUGGUAGUCCACGCCGUAAACGAUGGGUACUAGGUGUAGGAGGGUCCAACCUUCUGUGCCGCCGUUAACACAUUAAGUACCCCGCCUGGGGAGUACGGUCGCAAGAUUAAAACUCAAAGGAAUUGAC